rnacentral:rRNA from 1 species
GUGGGGAAUCUUCCGCAAUGGACGAAAGUCUGACGGAGCAACGCCGCGUGAGUGAAGAAGGUUUUCGGAUCGUAAAGCUCUUUCGUUAGGGACGAACGUGCUCUUUGUGAAUAAUGAGGAGUAAUGACGGUACCUAAAUAAGAAGCCACGGCUAACUACGUGCCAGCAGCCGCGGUAAUACGUAGGUGGCAAGCGUUGUCCGGAAUUAUUGGGCGUAAAGCGCGCGCAGGCGGGAUAUCAAGUCUGUCUUAAAAGUGCGAGGCUCAACCUCGUGAGGGGACAGAAACUGGUAUUCUUGAGUGUCGGAUAGGAAAGUGGAAUUCCAAGUGUAGCGGUGAAAUGCGUAGAGAUUUGGAAGAACACCAGUGGCGAAGGCGACUUUCUGGACGAUGUCUGACGCUGAGGCGCGAAAGCUAGGGGAGCGAACGGGAUUAGAUACCCGGGUAGUCC